rnacentral:misc_RNA from 1 species
GGACAUUGUUAUUCCUUUUCCUAGUUGGCUUUAUUUCUUUGUAAGUGCCUAUAUAAAGGCCUAAACGUUCAUAAUUUCAAUUGUUAGAUGUUGAAUAUUUUCUUUUAAUAAAACUUCGCUUUAUAAUAUUUUCACUUGUCAACUUUUUACCGCAAUGGUGUGUAUCCUUGACUCAUCUCCAUUAGGAGUGGCGUCUACCUUAGGUUGGUUCUUCUUUGUGGUGCUUGCUUAUCAAAGAUCAAUCAAUUCCGAACCUUAUUUUUGUUACUUUGCGGUGUUCAACCUAUCAAAGAGACAAUUGCAAGUUCUUUCUACUUCCUAGCUUUCUUGUGUUUUGUGUUAUUGUUCUAAAUUUAUAAAAUCCAAUAAGAAGAAUCAUUAUUGGCGUGUUUCAAUUGUCAUUCAAGUUCUUUCAUGUUUUAAGUUUCAUUUGGUUUGUCUCCAUGUUCUUUAGCGUGUUCUAUGUUCCAUUCAUAUAGCUUGUUUUGUUCUUGUUCAAUUCUUAUUUUAAGUGCAUGUUUAAUUGUAGUUUCAUUUAUUCCUUUGAGUUUGAGGCUACCAAAAUGAUCUUUCAUCCUUAGUGUCUUUUAGGCACACCAAAAAUAAACUCAUGUUUCCAUUGCUUCUCUAAAUUCAGUAUAUUGUACGUCCAUAUGUUUUCAUUUGAUCUAUAGAUCCCCGCAUCAAUUGCAUUUUUCUCAUAGCCUGCUUGAAUAAAAUUUUGAGUUUGAUAUUCUCAGCAAACAAGAAAGAAAAACUAACAUUUUCCUUUAUCAAUCAAAUAAUCUACCCACAAUUUCUUUAUUGAACUAAUGAAAACAUAGAAAUUCUUGUAAACUUAUUUUUUCA